rnacentral:rRNA from 1 species
UACGUAGGGUCCGAGCGUUGUCCGGAAUUAUUGGGCGUAAAGGGCUCGUAGGCGGUUUGUCGCGUCGGAGUGAAACACCGGGCUUAACUCGGUGCUUGCUUUCGAUACGGGCAGACUGGAGGUAUGCAGGGGAGAACGGAAUUCCUGGUGUAGCGGUGAAAUGCGCAGAUAUCAGGAGGAACACCGGUGGCGGAAGGCGGUUCUCUGGGCAUUACCUGACGCUGAGGAGCGAAGUGUGGGGAGCGAACAGG